GACGAACGCUGGCGGCGCGCUUAACACAUGCAAGUCGAACGGAAAGGCCUGCUUUCCCUUGUGGAUUGCGGGUACUCGAGUGGCGAACGGGUGAGUAACACGUGAGUGAUCUGCCCCCAACUUGGGUAUAAGCCUGGGAAACUGGGUCUAAUUCCCGAUAGGACUGCAGGGUGGUGCCUGUGGUGGAAAACGAUUUUCUAGUGGUUGGGGAUGAGCUCGCGGCCUAUCAGCUUGUUGGUGGGGUAAUGGCCUACCAAGGCGGCGACGGGUAGCCGGCCUGAGAGGGUGGACGGCCACAUUGGGACUGAGAUACGGCCCAGACUCCUACGGGAGGCAGCAGUGGGGAAUAUUGCGCAAUGGGCGGAAGCCUGAUGCAGCGACGCCGCGUGGGGGAUGACGGCCUUCGGGUUGUAAACUCCUUUCGACCGCGAGGAAGCCACCUGGUUGGAAGGGUGGUGACGGUAGUGGUAAAAGAAGCACCGGCUAACUACGUG
rnacentral:rRNA from 1 species